rnacentral:rRNA from 1 species
AUGAACGCUGGCGGCGUGCCUAACACAUGCAAGUCGAGCGAUCUUCUUCGGAAGAGAGCGGCGGACGGGUGAGUAACGCGUGGGUAACCUGCCCUGUACACACGGAUAACAUACCGAAAGGUAUGCUAAUACGGGAUAACAUAAGAAAGUCGCAUGGCUUUCUUAUCAAAGCUUUUGCGGUACAGGAUGGACCCGCGUCUGAUUAGCUAGUUGGUAAGGUAACGGCUUACCAAGGCGACGAUCAGUAGCCGACCUGAGAGGGUGAUCGGCCACAUUGGAACUGAGACACGGUCCAAACUCCUACGGGAGGCAGCAGUGGGGAAUAUUGCACAAUGGGCGAAAGCCUGAUGCAGCAACGCCGCGUGAGCGAUGAAGGCCUUCGGGUCGUAAAGCUCUGUCCUCAAGGAAGAUAAUGACGGUACUUGAGGAGGAAGCCCCGGCUAACUACGUGCCAGCAGCCGCGGUAAUACGUAGGGGGCUAGCGUUAUCCGGAAUUACUGGGCGUAAAGGGUGCGUAGGCGGUCUUUCAAGUCAGAAGUGAAAGGCUACGGCUCAACCGUAGUAAGCUUUUGAAACUGUAAGACUUGAGUGCAGGAGAGGAGAGUGGAAUUCCUAGUGUAGCGGUGAAAUGCGUAGAUAUUAGGAGGAACACCAGUUGCGAAGGCGGCUCUCUGGACUGUAACUGACGCUGAGGCA